GACGAACGCUGGCGGCGUGCUUAACACAUGCAAGUCGAACGGAAAGGCCCUGCUUUUGUGGGGUGCUCGAUUGGCGAACGGGUGAGUAACACGUGAGUAACCUGCCCUUGACUUUGGGAUAACUUCAGGAAACUGGGGCUAAUACCGGAUAGGAUCUCCUGCUGCACGGGGGGGGUUGGAAAGUUUCGGCGGUUGGGGAUGGACUCGCGGCUUAUCAGCUAGUUGGUGGGGUAGUGGCUUACCAAGGCUUUGACGGGUAGCCGGCCUGAGAGGGUGGACGGCGACAAUGGUACUGAGAUACGGCCCAGUCUCCUACGGGAGGCAGAAGGGGGGAAUAUUGCGCAGUGGGGGGACGUGUGAGAUGGAGACGCCGCGUGCGUAAUGCCGUCCUACGGGUUGUAAACCGCUUUCGCCGGUGACGAGGCGUGAGUGACGGUAAUGGGUAAAGAAGCACCGGCUAACUACGUG
rnacentral:rRNA from 1 species